UACAGAGGUCUCAAGCGUUGUUCGGAUUCAUUGGGCGUAAAGGGUGCGUAGGCGGCGCGGUAAGUCGGGUGUGAAAUCUCGGGGCUUAACUCCGAAACUGCAUUCGAUACUGCCGUGAUUGAGGACUGGAGAGGAGACUGGAAUUUACGGUGUAGCAGUGAAAUGCGUAGAGAUCGUAAGGAAGACCAGUGGCGAAGGCGGGUCU
rnacentral:rRNA from 1 species